UUUUCCUACUUUUCCCGCGAAAUCUUACGAAACAAAUCUAAAUAGCCGCAAGCUAGUUGCUCUUUUCCAAGGCAGACGACGAAUUUGGCAAUUAUUGUGGUCCUUUUCAGAGACCAGUGUGGUCGUAAAACACUUGAGCUCGUUCGUUCUUUUUCUUUGCCUUUGUUUCACUGGAACCGACGUGUAUUGUUGUUCAAUUCCUACGAAAACGCUUUACCUACGUCGACGACACGCAAUCCUGAUUUCUCUUUGUGGCGACUAUUAAAAACCUUGCAUGUCUUUAUGGUAUCCUCCACGUGUCCGGACCGGUCACAGCACGUGCCAUAGCCAUUACUCAGGGUUUGAUAUACUACGAGCCGAUUCUACUAGAAACCACACACUUUGACCAUCAACAACUUGGCCUCCAUUACAAGUUUCAAUUGAUGGAGAUGAGCCCUCCUCAAGCCUGACUGUUUGAACACUGGUGCUGCGUGCGGUGGGCUGCGGGAGUUGGCGUGGAUGAUUUUCGGUGAGUUAAUGGCCGCCGAGCUGCUCCGUUUCCCUUCUCGGUUUUCCCAUUUCGCCUUUGGCCGCCUUUUGUGUCAUGUCUCCUCUACGACGCCCCCCCUGAAGGCAUCGUUGCAUCACGUCCUGUCGUUACAUUAGUCACAAACGGAUAAUACGGCGGUGGUGCGCAAGAAGAGAACGACUUCUGCACUAGUUGAGGGCCAAACAUGGGACCACCAUAAGCACCGGUAAGUGAAAAAUAAAGGCAACGAAGACGACUCUUCUUUUCGUUUCUUUUUCUUCUUGUUUUUUUCCUUGGAACUCGUUUAUUCGAUCUCCUUUGCUUAAUGAUCCGCAGUGUUUUUGAGGUGGAAAAAAAAAACCAAGGGAUCAAAGAGUUCUCCAUCAAGGGCCCCUUUUUUCUUAUCCAACACACGACGAAAGGGGGGGGGGAAUAAAAAAUUGCUCGAAAUAGAAA